rnacentral:lncRNA from 1 species
CUUACCCCAUGAUUCGUAUAAUUCCUAGAGUUCUCUCUCUUUCUCUCUCUCUCUCUCUCAUAUGCAGGAGCAUAACAUACACAAGUAUUUAACAUAUGAAUGAAAGACAAAUAAUGACUAAGAAGAAAACCUGUCCUGAGAUAUCUACCAACUGCUAUCUUGUCUUCCUGGCCAUUAGAAUGUGUGAUGAUAUUCAGAACCUACUUAACAUUUCUUUGUUCUAAAUAUACUAGACUUCUUGAAUCUUUGCAUUUCAUCUGGCAUAAAAAGUUUAGAAGGUAAGUCUUCAGAAAGAAGUAGAUCCUAUGUAUCAGAUAGAGAAGUGGAGAAAAAGACAUUCAAAGGUAGUGGAACCAGAGGUUAUUCUCAGGUUACUAAAUGCAAAAGAACAGAAAAGCAAAACAAGGUGGUCAAAAUUGC